AGGGAAAGAGGGAGGAAGGACGAAGAAAGGAAAGUAGAGUGGAUGAAGGGAGCUUGCUCCUGGAUUCAGCGGCGGACGGGUGAGUAAUGCCUAGGAAUCUGCCUGGUAGUGGGGGAUAACGUCCGGAAACGGGCGCUAAUACCGCAUACGUCCUGAGGGAGAAAGUGGGGGAUCUUCGGACCUCACGCUAUCAGAUGAGCCUAGGUCGGAUUAGCUAGUUGGUGGGGUAAAGGCCUACCAAGGCGACGAUCCGUAACUGGUCUGAGAGGAUGAUCAGUCACACUGGAACUGAGACACGGUCCAGACUCCUACGGGAGGCAGCAGUGGGGAAUAUUGGACAAUGGGCGAAAGCCUGAUCCAGCCAUGCCGCGUGUGUGAAGAAGGUCUUCGGAUUGUAAAGCACUUUAAGUUGGGAGGAAGGGCAGUAAGUUAAUACCUUGCUGUUUUGACGUUACCAACAGAAUAAGCACCGGCUAACUUCGUA
rnacentral:rRNA from 1 species